rnacentral:rRNA from 1 species
GACGAACGCUGGCGGCGUGCCUAACACAUGCAAGUCGAGCGAUGAAGUUUCUUUCGGGAAAUGGAUUAGCGGCGGACGGGUGAGUAACACGUGGGUAACCUGCCUCAUAGAGGGGAAUAGCCUCCCGAAAGGGAGAUUAAUACCGCAUAAUAUUACAGUUUCGCAUGAAACAGUAAUUAAAGGAGUAAUCCGCUAUGAGAUGGACCCGCGGCGCAUUAGCUAGUUGGUGAGGUAACGGCUCACCAAGGCGACGAUGCGUAGCCGACCUGAGAGGGUGAUCGGCCACAUUGGGACUGAGACACGGCCCAGACUCCUACGGGAGGCAGCAGUGGGGAAUAUUGCACAAUGGGGGAAACCCUGAUGCAGCAACGCCGCGUGAGUGAUGACGGUCUUCGGAUUGUAAAGCUCUGUCUUUGGGGACGAUAAUGACGGUACCCAAGGAGGAAGCCACGGCUAACUACGUGCCAGCAGCCGCGGUAAUAC